AUCUGAACAAAGCACCCCAAUGCAGAUAACAACAUCAUCCUUACCUACAACAAGUACAGCUCAAUCUACAACCCUGGUUACAAAAAACUCGCCUACAACUACAUCGCAGGUUACAACUUCAGCCCCUCCUACAGAAACAACAACACAACUUACAUCUUCUGCUGAACCAACAACCACAACUGUUUUAUCAUCUACAAAUGAACCAACAACCACAACUGAUUCAUCAUAUACAACUGUACUAACAACCACAACUGCUUCAACAUCUACAACUGAACAAUCAACUACAUCUGAACACAGCACCACAAUGCAGGCGGCAACAACAUCCCUAUCUACAACAAGUACAGCUCAAUCUACAACUGAGAUUACAACAAACUCACCUACAACUGCAACUCUUCUUUCAACUCCAGGCCCUCCAACAGAGACAACGCAACUUACAUCUACUUCUGAACCAACAACCACAACUGCUUCAACAUCUAAAACUGAACAGUCAACUACAUCUGAACAAAGCACAACAACAGAGACAGCAACAACAUCACUACCACCUACCACAAGUUCAGCACAAUCGACAACUGAGGUUACAACAAACUCACCUACAACUGCAACUCUUCUUACAACUCCAGGCCCUCCAGCAGAGACAACGCAACUUACAUCUACUGCUGAACCAACAACCACAACUGCUUCAUCAUCUACAAAUGAACUAAUAACCACAACUGCUUCAUCAUCUACAACUGAACAAUCAACUACAUCUGAAAAAAGCACCACAAUGCAGACAGUAAAAACAUCCCUACCUACAAGUACAGCUCAAUCUACAACUGAGGUAACAACAAACUCACCUACAACUGCAUCUCUGCUUACAACUACAGCCCCUCCUAUAGAAACAACAACAACACAAUUUACAUCUGCGGUUGAACCAACAACCACAACUGUUUUAACAUCUACAACUCAACCAACAACCACAACUCCGUCAACGUCUACAACUGAACAAUCAACUACAUCUGAACAAAGCACCACAAUGCAGACAGCAACAACUUCUCAACCUACAACAAAUACAGCUCAAUCUACAACCCUGGUUACAACAAACUCAGCUAUACCUACAUCUCAGGUUACAACUACAGCCCCUUCAACAGAAACAACAGAAACACAACUUACAUCUACGGCUGAACCAACAACCACGACUUUUUCAACAUCUACAACGGAACCAAUAACCACAACUGUUUUAAUAUCUACAACAGAACAAUCAACUACAUCAGAACAAAGCACCACAACACAGAUAGGAACAAAAUCCCUAACUACAACAAGUAUAGCUCAAUCUACAACUGAGGUUUCAACAAACUCACCAAGAACUACAUUUCAAGUUACGACUACAGGCCCUCCUAAAGAAACAACAACAACAAAACUUACAUCUAUUGCUGAACCAACAACCACAAUUGCUGCAACAUCUACAACUGAACAAUCAACAACAUCUGAACACAGCACCACAAUGCAGACAGCAACAACAUCCAUACCUACAACAAGUACAGCUCAAUCUACAACUGAGGUUUCAACAAACUCACCUAGAACUGCAACUCUGCUUACAACUACAGCCCCUCCUACAGAAACAACAAUAACACAACUUAUAUCUACAGCUGAACCAACAACCACAACUUCUUCAUCAUCUACAAUUGAACAAUCAACUACACCUGAACAAAGCACCGCAACACAGGCAUCAACACCAUCCUUACCUUCAACAAAUACAGCACAAUCUACAAACCUGGUUACAACAAACUCACCUACAACUACAUCUCGGGUUACGACUACAGCCCCUCCUACAGAAACAACAACAAGAAAACUUACAUCUACGGAUGGAUCAACAACCACAACUGCUUCAUCAUCUACAACUGAAGAAUCAACUACAUCUGAACAAAGCGCCCCAACACAGACAUCAACAUCUUCCUUACCUACAUCUCGGUUUACAACUACAGCCCCUCCUACAGAAACUACAACAGGAAAACUUACAUCUACAGCUGAACCAAAAACCACAACUUCUUCUUCAUCUACAACUGAACAAUCAACUACAUCUGAACAAAGCACCCUAACACAGACAUCAACAUCACCCUUACCUUCAACAAAUACAGCUCAGACUACAACCCUGGUUACAACAAACUCACCUACAACUACAUCUCGGGUUACGACUACAGCCCCUCCUACAGAAACAACAUCAAGAAAACUUACAUCUACGGCUGAACCAACAACCACAGCUACUUCAACAUCAACAACAGAACAAUCAACUACAUCUCAACACAGCACCACAAUGAAGACAGCAACAACAUCCCUACCUACAACAAGUACAGCUCAAUCUACAACCCUGGUUACAACAAACUCACCUACAACUGCAACUCUGCUUACAACUAGAGCCCCUCCUACAGAAACAACACAACUUACAUCUACGGCUGAACCAACAACCACAACUGUUUUAAAAUCUACAACUGAACCAACAACAACAACUGUUUUAACAUCUACAACUGAACAAUCAACAACACCUGAACAAAGCACCACAAUGCAGACAACAACAACAUCCUUACCUACAAAAAAUACACCUCAAUCUACAACCGUGGUUACAGCAAACUCACUUACAAGUACAUCUCAGUUUACAACCACAGCCCCUCCUACAGAAACAACAACACAACUUACAUCUAUGGCUGAACCAACAACGACAACUGUUUUAACAUCUACAACAGAACAAUCAACUACAUCUGAACAAAGCACCACAAUGCAGUCAACAACAACAUCCCUACCUACAACAAGUACAGCUCAAUCCACAACUGAGGUUACAACAAACUCACCUACAACUGCAACUCUGUUUACAACUACAGCCCCUCCUACAGAAACAACAACCACACAACUUACAUCUACGGCUGAACCAACAACCACAACUGCGUCAACAUCUACAACUGAAAAAUCAACUAUACCCGAACAAAGCACCACAACACAGACAGCAACAACAUCCCUACAUACAACAAGUACAGCUCAAUCUACAACCCUGAUUUCAACAAACUCAGCUACACCUACAUCUCGGGUUACAAUUACAGCCCCUCCUACAGAAACAACAACAACACAACUUACAUCUACAGCUGAACCAACAACCAUAACUGUUUUAACAUCUACAGCUGAACCAACAACCACAACUGUUUUAACAUCUACAACAAAACAAUCAAUUACAUCCCAACACAGCACCACAACACAGACAGCAACAACAUACCUACCUACAACAAGUACAGCUCAAUCUACAACCCUGGUUACAACAAACAUGACUGUUACAUCAAGCUCAGCUACACAAACGACACAAUUCUGCUUAAAAGUGACACAACAGCUGAUACAAUACUGCUCAGCAACAACUGAAACUCUGUCUACAACCACUGCCAAACCUACACAAAAACCUGACUCAACAAACUCACCUGCAUCUGCAACAACAGAAUCUAUGACUGUUACAGUAAACUCAGUCCCUUCCACAGAAACAACAACAACAACAACACAACUUACAUCUACGGCUGAACCAACAACUACAACCAGAGCUCAAUCAACAACAACCCCAGGCACAACCCAGACAGUUUUUGUUAGUUUUUCCAGCAGUGAAAUUUUUGUCUCUGAUCUGUCAAAUCCAGCUUCAGAAGCAUAUAAAAACAGAGAAAAGAAUGUCAACGAUACGUUGACACCAUUCUUUACAAAUGCAUUGCCCUCCUUCAAAGGACUGGCAGUUAUUCAGUUCCGUAAUGGGUCAAUCAUCACUGAUAUGAAUGUGACAUUUGGAACCUUACCCAGUGAUGUGGAGAUAGAAAACACUAUUAUGAAAGCUAAUGCCACUCUCAGUAUCACCAGUGUAACAAUAUGGAAGCCCUUCACCACAACUACCAAAGCCACUACAACCAGUUCCACUACAAUUACAACUACAACCACACCUAACACAACAACAGCAGCAGCAACAACAACAACCACAACAUCUACUGCCAAUCCUAUUACAACAGCAACAACAACAACCACCACCACAACAUCUACUGUCAAUCUUAAUACAACAGCAUUAACAGCAGUCACAACAUCUACUGCCAAUCCUAUUACAACAGCAACAACAACAACCACAACAUCUACUGUCAAUCCUAAUACAACAGCAUCACCAGCAACCACAACAUCUACUGCCAAUCCUAACACAACAGCAUCAACAGCAACCACAACAUCUACUGCCAAGCCUAAUACAACAGCAUCAACAGCAACCACAACAUCUACUGCCAAUCCUAAUACAACAGCAACAACAACAACAACAGCAACCACAACAUCUACUGCCAAUCCUAAUACAACAGCAACAACAACAACAACACCAGCAACCACAACAUCUACUGUCAAUCCUAAUACAACAGCAUCAACAGCAACCACAACAACAACCACAACAUCUACUGCCAAACCUAAUACAACUGUAACAACAACACCCACAACCACAACAACAACAACAACAACAAAAACAACAACAACAACAACAUCUACUGCCAAUCCUAAAACAACAGCAACAACAACCACAAUAACAACAGCAGCAACCACAACAGCAGCACCAGCACGUCCUCAGCCAACUGUUGCCAUACAGAUUGUCAUUAUAGAGGUGUUUGUUCCAGCACUGAAAGACCCUCAAACUCCGGAAUUUAAAAGCCUAGCCACAAAAGUAGAGACUAUGUUUGAUGAAGUCUAUAAGAAAAAGUUUGGACCUCGUUUCAUCAGGACCAUUGUGAUUGCUUUCAUAGCUGUUGCCAGGACCCGGGCAGACUCAAACGUACAGGCGGAGGUUAAGUUAGUGUUUAGUGAAGUGUCCACUGAACCAAUCCCCAGCAACACCGACAUUGUGGAGACUCUAAAAGAAGCAGCUGCUAAUUCAACUGGAGGCUUCAACCUCACCCUUGAUGCCACCUCUAUUACUGUCAUUAAAUCAGUGCAGAUAAUUCCGCUGACCAUCCUCACCAAUGGAACCUUUGUGGCUGCUCUUUCAAAUAAAAGUUCUACUGAAUUUCAGAACAGGGCUUCGAUGAUAAAAACAGGGCUCGAACCUUUUUUCCUGACUGAUUACCCUGCAUCAUUCAGCACCAUAUCCGUAACAAACUUCAGUGAUGCCGGUGUAAAAUUAAAGAGCGUGCCCAAGAUCCAAAACAGCAUGGAUGUUGUAUUUGGAGCGGAUGCUGCUCUACCCAAUAGCACCCAGAUAGUGAACACUGUAGUUCGAGCAGCCAGAAACAACACAUUACCCUUCCAGAUCUUCACUUCUUCAAUUAUAAUAAAUGGAACAGAAUAUUCAUCAGGUGAAGUCAGCAGCAGGAUCAGUGUGUUGACCACUUCGUUCCUGGUUAUGGUGUCACUUCUGGUUCCAUGGUUUAACUGACCUUAACCACUCAUGACAAGAUAACUGAUUCAGCCACUCUGAAUCUUGCCUUUUAUGUCUGUUCAAAUGAAGGACUCAACUUAAGGAUGAAUGUAGCUAGUGAUGCUAUUUAAUGAGUAGGAAUGAAAGUAAAAAUGUAAAUAAUCCUAUUCUCAGCACUUUAAACGGGGACACUUCAUUUACAGCGAUAUCGUUGACUUGAUUGCAAAUUAUUGCACAGAUACUAUUUAAACUGAACUGAGCUGCAUGAUGACAUCACUGAAUUCAAUGAUGAACUGCUUUAACUGUCAUUUUGCAUUACUGACACACUGUUUUCCUAAUUAAUGUUGUUCAGUUGCUUUGACGCAAUCUUUUUUGUUUAAAGCGCUAUAUAAAUAAAGGUGACUUGACUUGACUUUAAACUAGAUCA
ensembl:lncRNA